UUUUUUUCUCUCUGUCUGUUAUGAUUUAACAAAUAUGGCUGCUCAUUAAAUACCGUGUUUUAAAGCCGAAGUUUACCAAUUGUCACCUUAAUAUAGUAGACAAAUUAAAACCAGAUGCUCCGCAGGGCGCAGCUUUAUACGACCGCAGAGGUUGAACCCUGAACGGUUGGGGCAAGUAUGGACACAACUUUCAAGCUGGAUUCAGCUCUAAAUUUGGACUGUGAUUAAAUAGUUGACACAGCAUAGGUUUCUGACACAGAAUGAAUGUGGUCUAAUGAACUUAAAAUGUUUGUUUUGCCUUUGAGCAAUUCAUUAUGCUGUUGAAUAUUAAUCCUCUCAAAAAAAUUGCAGAAAUAGCAAUAACUACUCAUAAAAUAUUAAAAUGUAAAAAAAGUGCUUGUUAUCACUGAAUGGUAAAGAUUGUUUUAAUUUAUCAGUUAUAUUGUAUAUUGUAUAAAACAAUGAUUUAAGUUGAUUCAACUACUAUUCUGGACAAAGAAAGAUAACUCCAAUCAAUUGAAAAUUUC
rnacentral:lncRNA from 1 species